UUGGCUUAAAAUUGAAUGUAUUUGGCUGAAACAUUUUCAGCCUAUUUUCUUCUCCAAAGAAGAGAUAUUCAUCCUUGUUGGCGAAUAAUCCUUUCCUCAUUCCUGCAAAUUUGAUGCACGAGAAAAUAUGUCAGAUUUCCAUCUUCUUUUUGGACAGUAUGAGCCCAUUUUGUUCUACCUUUCGAAAGAACACUUCAAGAUGGGCUAUAUGCUCUUUGUAAGAUUUUGAGAAUACUAACAAAUCAUCUACGUAUACUAAUAUAAAUGCUUGAUUCUCAUUAAAUAUAUUUUGCAUCUUUCUUUGAAAAAGUGCAGGUGCAUUCUUUAGGCCUAAUGGCAUUACUAGCCAUUCAUAAUGGCCUUGUGGACAAGUAAAUGCUGUCCAGGGAAUAGAUUCUUCAGCCAUUUUUACUUGCCAAAAUCCUGCCUUUAAGUCGAAUUUAGAGAAAUAUUUACUUCCUUGUAUUCUGUUAAUCCAUUCCUGUUUAUUAGGUAUGUUGUAUGCAUUGUCAACUGUAUUAUCAUUAAGCCUUUUAAAAUUAAUUACCAUUCUAGAUUUACCUCUAACUUCUUCAGCAUGAUUUCUAACUAUAAAAGCAGCAGAUCGAUGAGGGCUUCUGCUUUCUCUUAUAGCUUUUAACUUUAAUAACUCUUCAAUAUGCAUUUUGAAUUCUUCGAUAUCUUUAGGAGUUGCUUCUAUUGGUCCUGACUUAAUUAUAUAAUCUGGAUUUAUGAUAUUUAUUUUGCAAACUAUAGAGUUCUUAUCCCAAUGUUUCAUUGGUAUUUCUCCAAUAAUUUGUAUACUUUCUAGUCUUUGCACAAUCUUAUCUAUAUCCUUUUUGGAUUUUAUAUCUCUAUACCAGUUUGGAGAGAAUGAUUGCAACCCAAUGCAUUCAGUACAUGUAUUUUCUAUAUGAUAUUCUUCUAUGGUCUCACUAAGUUCUUCGUCUUUACAAAAUUCAAGGGAAUCUGGACUUGUGCUAUAUUCAUCAUCUACAUUAGAUAUUUCUACAUUUUGCAAGGACUUUCUUUGUUUUCGCACUUCAGAUAUGUAUGGAACAUUAUCUUGAUAAGGAAUAAAUGUUACCCCCUCUUCAUGUAUGAUUGUGGUUUGUAAAGAUUGUUGUAAAAAUCUUAACCCUAUUAUCAUGUCAUCAUUUAUUA